AGGGUUUGAUCCUGGCUCAGGACGAACGCUGGCGGCGUGCUUAACACAUGCAAGUCAAGGAGAACGUUUUCUUCGGAAAAUUAUUAAACUGGCGAACGGGUGAGUAACGCGUAGGCAACCUGCCCUAGAGAUUGGGAUAACCCCGGGAAACCGGGACUAAUACCGAAUAAUGCAGCGGAUCCUUUGGGAUACAGUUGUUAAAGUGGGCUUCGGCUCACACUUUAGGAUGGGCCUGCGUCCGAUUAGCUUGUUGGUGAGGUAAUGGCUCACCAAGGCGAUGAUCGGUAGCUGGUUUGAGAGGACGAUCAGCCACACUGGGAUUGAGAUACGGCCCAGACUCCUACGGGAGGCAGCAGUGGGGAAUUUUGCGCAAUGGGGGAAACCCUGACGCAGCAACGCCGCGUGACCGAUGAAGCUUCUAGGAGCGUAAAGGUCUGUCGUAAGGGAAGAAAUGUUUGGAUGUAAAUAAUGUUCGAACCUGACGGUACCUUACAAGAAAGCACCGGCUAACUUAGUGCCAGCAGCCGCGGUAAUACUAGGGGUGCAAGCGUUGUCCGGAAUCAUUGGGCGUAAAGGGUCCGUAGGCGUCUCUAUAAGUCACUUGUUAAAGACACCGGCUUAACCGGUGGAAUGCAUGUGAAACUGUUGAGAUAGAG
rnacentral:rRNA from 1 species